rnacentral:rRNA from 1 species
AACGAACGCUGGCGGCGCGCCUAACACAUGCAAGUCGAACGAGAAUCCGGGGCAACCCGGUAGUAAAGUGGCAAACGGGUGAGGAAUACAUGGGUAACCUACCCUUGAGAAGGGAAUAACCCGCCGAAAGGUGAGCUAAAUACCCUAUACGCUAUCUUUUUUUCGAAAAGGAUAGGAAAGCCGGGUCGAGGACCUGGUACUCAAGGAGGGGCUCAUGUCCUAUCAGCUUGUUGGNGGGUAACGGCCUACCAAGGCUACGACGGGUAGCUGGUCUGAGAGGAUGAUCAGCCACACUGGCACUGAGAUACGGGCCAGACUCCUACGGGAGGCAGCAGUGAGGAAUAUUGCGCAAUGGGCGAAAGCCUGACGCAGCGACGCCGCGUGGGGGAUGAAGGUUUUCGGAUUGUAAACCCUUUCAUGAGGAAAGAUAAAGUGGUAACGACUUAGACGGUA